UACGUAGGGUGCGAGCGUUGUCCGGAAUUAUUGGGCGUAAAGGGCUCGUAGGCGGUUUGUCGCGUCGGGAGUGAAAACCCAGGGCUUAACCCUGGGCUGGCUUUCGAUACGGGCAGACUAGAGGUAUGCAGGGGAGAACGGAAUUCCUGGUGUAGCAGUGAAAUGCGCAGAUAUCAGGAGGAACACCGGUGGCGAAGGCGGUUCUCUGGGCAUUACCUGACGCUGAGGAGCGAAAGUGUGGGGAGCGAACAGG
rnacentral:rRNA from 1 species